GUCCACAGCCAUACCACCCUGAACAAGCCAGAUCCCAUCUGAUCUCGGAAGUUAAGCAGGGUCUGGCCUGGUUAGUACUUGGAUGGGAGACCACCUACAAAGAUCAGGUGCUGUAGGUG
rnacentral:rRNA from 1 species